AAUAGGUUGCCGAAGCCGCGAGGUGGAGCCAAUCCUCAAAGUUGGUCCUCAGUUCAGAUUGCAGGCUGCAACCCGCCUGCAUGAAGAUGGAGUUGCUAGUAACCGCAGGUCAGCUAUACUGCGGUGAAUACGUUCCCGGGGCUU
rnacentral:rRNA from 1 species